AGAUGGCAUACCUAUCUGCUUUAUACAACGCUGCAUCCGGGUUCUAAUCCCAGCUGAAGCUGAUUGUUGGUUUAAGAACUCAUGAUACUCAUGGUAGUGUGUGUAAAUGUGUUGUGUGUGUGAAACAUAGGUGUAAUGCUAAAAAUAGGAGGCUGUCCAAUCCACUUGACCCAAAAAAAACAAAUGAAUUACUAUUUGAACUAAGGGCUCAGCUGCCAAUACAAAAACUUGAGAGUUAAAAGAGUCCAACAGAGGCCCC
rnacentral:lncRNA from 1 species